CACUAUGCCUAGCCCUAAACAUUGACAAUGAACUACAACCAUUGUCCGCCUGGGAACUACGAGCACCAGCUUAAAACCCAAAGGACUUGGCGGUGCUUUAGAUCCACCUAGAGGAGCCUGUUCUAGAACCGAUAACCCCCGUUAAACCUCACCCCUCCUUGUUUAUCCCGCCUAUAUACCACCGUCGUCAGCUUACCCUGCGAAGAUCCAACAGUAAGCACAAUUGGCACAGCCCAAAACGUCAGGUCGAGGUGUAGCGUAUGGAGGGGGAAGAAAUGGGCUACAUUCCCUGCCUCAGGGAAUCACGAACGAUACUCUGAAAUAAGUAUCUAAAGGAGGAUUUAGCAGUAAGCAGAAAAUAGAGCGUUCCGCUGAAACCGGCCCUGAAGCGCGCACACACCGCCCGUCACUCUCCCCGAGCUUAAUAAACUCAACUAACUAAAACCCUGUAACUGCAAAGGGGAGGCAAGUCGUAA
rnacentral:rRNA from 1 species